AAACCAGCACCUCAAGUGGUCAGGAUGAUUAUUGGGCCUAAAGCAUCCGUAGCCGGCUCUGUAAGUUUUCGGUUAAAUCUGUACGCUUAACGUACAGGCCGCCGGGAAUACUGCAAAGCUAGGGAGUGGGAGAGGUAGACGGUACUCGGGAGGAAGUGGUAAAAUGCUUUGAUCUCUCGAUGACCACCUGUGGCGAAGGCGGUCUACCAGAACACGUCCGACGGUGAGGGAUGAAAGCUGGGGGAGCAAACCGGAUUAGAAACCCCAGUAGUCC
rnacentral:rRNA from 1 species